rnacentral:ncRNA from 1 species
CUCAUCAAGAGCGGCUGAGGGAACAGGCCCUGUGACGCCCGGCAACCUAUCGACGAAAAGGUGCUAAAUCCUGCAGGUAUUACCUGAAAGAUGAGG